rnacentral:tRNA from 1 species
GGGGUUAUAGCUCAAGUGGUAGAGCACUCACCUAGCACAGGCGAGGUCCUGGGUUCAAUCCUCAGUACCACA